rnacentral:rRNA from 1 species
UACGAAGGGUGCAAACGUUGCUCGGAAUUAUUGGGCGUAAAGCGCACGUAGGCGGCUUGGCAAGUCGGAUGUGAAAUCCCUCGGCUCAACCAAGGAAGUGCAUCCGAAACUGCUGAGCUUGAGUACGAAAGAGGAUCGCGGAAUUCCCGGUGUAGAGGUGAAAUGCGUAGAUAUCUGGAGGAACACCGGUGGCGAAGGCGGCAUCCUGGACCGACACUGACGCUGAGGAGCGAAAGCCAGGGGAGCAAACGGG